rnacentral:rRNA from 1 species
AGCGAACGCUGGCGGCAUGCCUAACACAUGCAAGUCGAACGAGACUUCGGUCUAGUGGCGGACGGGUGAGUAACGCGUAGGAACCUGCCAAGCAGUGGGGAAUAACAGCUGGAAACGGCUGCUAAUACCGCAUUCGCCCUUCGGGGAAAGAUUUAUCGCUGUUUGAGGGUCCUGCGUUCGAUUAGCUAGUUGGUGAGGUAACGGCCCACCAAGGCGACGAUCGAUAGCUGGUCUGAGAGGAUGAUCAGCCACACUGGGACUGAGACACGGCCCAGACUCCUACGGGAGGCAGCAGUGGGGAAUAUUGGACAAUGGGGGAAACCCUGAUCCAGCAAUGCCGCGUAGCGUGAAGAAGGCC